rnacentral:rRNA from 1 species
AGUGAACGCUGGCGGUAGGCCUAACACAUGCAAGUCGAACGGCAGCACAGGAGAGCUUGCUCUCUGGGUGGCGAGUGGCGGACGGGUGAGGAAUACAUCGGAAUCUGCCCAGUCGUGGGGGAUAACGUAGGGAAACUUACGCUAAUACCGCAUACGACCUUCGGGUGAAAGAGGGGGAUCGCAAGACCUCUCGCGAUUGGAUGAGCCGAUGUCGGAUUAGCUAGUUGGCGGGGUAAUGGCCCACCAAGGCGACGAUCCGUAGCUGGUCUGAGAGGAUGAUCAGCCACACUGGAACUGAGACACGGUCCAGACUCCUACGGGAGGCAGCAGUGGGGAACAUUGGACAAUGGGCGCAAGCCUGAUCCAGCCAUACCGCGUGGGUGAAGAAGGCCUUCGGGUUGUAAAGCCCUUUUGUUGGGAAAGAAAUCUUUCAGGCUAAUACCCUGGGAGGAUGACGGUACCCAAAGAAUAAGCACCGGCUAACUUCGUG